rnacentral:rRNA from 1 species
GACGAACGCUGGCGGCGCGCCUAACACAUGCAAGUCGAACGGAGUCAAGAGGAGCUUGCUUUUCUUGACUUAGUGGCGAACGGGUGAGUAACGCGUGAGUAACCUGCCCUGGAGUGGGGGACAACAGUUGGAAACGACUGCUAAUACCGCAUAAGCCCACGGAUCUGCAUGGAUCUGCGGGAAAAGGAUUUAUUCGCUCUAGGAUGGACUCGCGUCCAAUUAGCUAGUUGGUGAGGUAACGGCCCACCAAGGCGACGAUUGGUAGCCGGACUGAGAGGUUGGACGGCCACAUUGGGACUGAGACACGGCCCAGACUCCUACGGGAGGCAGCAGUGGGGGAUAUUGCACAAUGGGGGAAACCCUGAUGCAGCGACGCCGCGUGGAGGAAGAAGGUUUUCGGAUUGUAAACUCCUGUCGUUAGGGACGAUAAUGACGGUACCUAACAAGAAAGCACCAGCUAACUACGUG